GCCACCCUGCGCCAUCUCCAACUCGGGUCUCCGCGGCCACCCGCGCAACUGCCAGCGACUGAAGCGGAGGAGUCAACAGGACUGUUGUGGAGCCUGUUGCAGGGCCUUAAAGGAGUGUUACAGAAGAAUUAGACAUCAGUGCUGAAAGUCCCAAUGGAGACAGCCCAGGACGUCGAAACCAAGGGCCUCCCCUUCCAAAACCAUCAUUGAGGGAAGCAAUCCUUGUAGUAAAGGGGCCUACCUUCUUUGACACCACCACCACCAACCACUGAUUCACUGCCACUAGUGGGCAGGUUAGCCCAAGAGCCCCAGGAGUGGCAGUGUGCCCCAGACCCUGAGACUUAAACCACCGCCACCUCCUCAAUCAUCAGCCCUAUUUCCAGCUUUGGCCCCUGAGCCAUCAUCUCAGGACCAGCCCCUAAGAAGAUGCAAUCUGGGGACUGCUUAUGAAAGUGCUGGAUCCCCACCCCACCUCUCAUCAGCAACUUCAGCUGCUAAAGCCCUGGAAAAGAAAGUUCUCACCACUAGAGUCUUUGGCGUUGUCAAACAGUUCAAUAUCAGGAACAGAUAUGCUUUUAUCGAUGGAAACAACAUUAUAGAAGAGACAUUACCAUCUGUUUUGCUGCUGCACCUUCAGGACCAUCUGACUUGCAGCUGAAACCUUCCAUUUCUGUUGUCUCAUCCGUUAGAAUUUGAACUCCUUGGGAGCAGGGACUGUCUUAAUUUUCCUACUUCUAUUUCCAUCGGUUAGCACAGUGCUUUGCACAUAGUAAGUGCUUAAUAAAUCCUCAUUCAUUCAUUCAUUCUGCCUUGCCCCAGAGGACAGAACAGGAUUAGUGGCUGGGAGUUAGAGGCAGAUUUGGGCUCUACAUAA